AACCUCCGCAAUGUGAGAAAUCGCGACGGGGGGAUCCCAAGUGCCAUUCUUAACGGGAUGGCUUUUCAUUAGUGUAAAGAGCUUUUGGAAUAAGAGCUGGGCAAGACCGGUGCCAGCCGCCGCGGUAACACCGGCAGCUCUAGUGGUAACAAUUUUUAUUGGGCCUAAAGCGUCCGUAGCCGGUUUAAUAAGUCUCUGGUGAAAUCCUGUAGCUUAACUGUGGGAAUUGCUGGAGAUACUAUUAGACUUGAGACCGGGAGAGGUUAGAGGUACUCCCAGGGUAGAGGUGAAAUUCUGUAAUCCUGGGAGGACCGCCUGUUGCGAAGGCGUCUAACUGGAACGGUUCUGACGGUGAGGGACGAAAGUUAGGGGCGCGAACCGGAUUAGAUACCCGGGUAGUCCUAACUGUAAACGAUGCGGACUUGGUGUUGGGGUGGCUUUGAGCUGCUCCAGUGCCGAAGGGAGCUGUAAGUCCGCCGCCUGGGAAGUACGGUCGCAAGACUGAAACUUAAAGGAAUU
rnacentral:rRNA from 1 species